CUCCAUUCCGUGCUGCCUUCCUCUUUUAGGGAGAGCUUGUUUCAGAUGAUUUGGUUGUGGGCAUUAUUGAUGAAGCUAUGAAGAAACCCUCAUGCCAGAAAGGUUUCAUUCUUGAUGGCUUUCCUAGAAUUGUGACUCAAGCACAGAAGCUUGAUGAGAUGUUGGCAAAGCAAGGUGCCAAUGUUGACAAAGUCCUGAACUUUGCAAUUGAUGAUGUUGUAUUGGAAGAACGGAUUACUGGUCGUUGGAUCCACUCAGCCAGUGGUAGGACUUACCACUCAAAAUUUGCACCUCCAAAGUCUCCAGGAGUUGAUGAUGUAAGUCGAGUACAGAACAUUUAAUUAAGCUGCUUAUUUUUAUGUUUCCACGAUCUUAUUUAUAUGAUUACUAUUUUCUUCUAGACUUAGUGUGGAUCGACUCACUAUUUUAGUGUGUAAGUUGUUCAAGUUUCCCAAUCAGCUUCUUGUGGCAUAAGUUUUUGAACCAGUUAAUGACAUCUUGACAUUUA